rnacentral:lncRNA from 10 species
CGCCACUGCACUCCAGCCUGGGCGACAGAGUGAGACUCCAUAUCAACAAAACAAAACAAAACAAAAUUUACCUUUGAAUCCGUCUCAAAAGUGAAGGUCCAGCCUAGCAGAGUGCCAGACAUCAUGAGUCUUUAGAAUUCUAAGGAGCAGCAUGAGAAUUCUCAGGCCAAAGAAGAAUUUCGUCUCUGGGAAGUCCUGACUCUGCAUUAAUGAUGGACAUCAAUGUUUUCAGCUGCCAGACAGGUCCAUCUUCUCAAUUCCUGAGAUCCUAACUGUGACCCUGUCCAUCAGCCAGGUGAGCAAGCCUGGGCUAGUUAGCUGAAGGAUAAGAGACCAUGUGGAGGAAGCCAGAGGAGCCAUCCAUCUGGGGCCACCCAAGGUCAGCCAGCACCUCUAAUCACAGAGCCACGAGGGAGUUAGCCCAGAUUUAGAAGGUGAGGAUAUUGACUUCAUCUCUUGAUGCAAGGAGUUGCAGUUACAUUGCAAAGGGAUGCAGAUACAGGGAAGGUUGGAGAAUUGCAGCCACUUUUGCACAAUCUACCACAACUACUGCAUUGUAGCUGCUAUGCACAUUAAAUAAGUAAAGACAUAUGAAACAUUUAUAUCAGGUCCUGACAACAAAUAAGUGUUCAACAAGUGUGAGCUAUUAUUACUGUUUCUAAAAUGGAUCCCUUAUCAUGGAGAAGGUCAAAUUAAUGCUGCCGUGCCUCUUACUCUUAGAAACUGACACUGAAAGUUCCCACAUAACUGAGGUUCAAUCUAUGAGCACAUCCAGAAACUCAAGUGAGGGAAAAUGCAAUCAAACCACAUAUGAAAAAUCAAUAGAUCCCUAAAUAAUCUUUCCCUCCUGAAUGGAAGCAACACAUUUGAAAACUCUUCUCCCUCCACCCCUACCAAAAAAAAAAAAAAAAAAAAAAAAAGCAGUGCAUGUUGCCUCUUCUAUUCAGGCUGUGACCAAAGGUUUCAAUGGUAAAGAUGACUCAUACCUUAAAGAACUAGAAGAAUUUUUUUUAUGGCUUCUCUAUCCAUUGUCUUGCUCUCAUAAAACUGCUGAAUGACACCCAAGUGUAAAACCCACCAAAGAAAUAAGCGCUGGAUGACAUGUGGCAGAUUUUCCAACUCUCCAGGAAAAACUUCAGAUCAACUUGUUUCUCUGGAAACUACUCACAUCCGGGGGCUGUCCCUGUCCCCUGGGACUCAUAAACGUUCCUAUCUUCAAGGCACAGAGAUUUGUGGAACUUCGAACUUGAGAGAGAUGAUUUACAGUACCUGGUGGAAGAAAUUUCAAAGCAGCAAAGCUUUCAAGAGGUGACUUGGGUGCUGUUAAAGUCAUUCAGUUUUAAAGGAAAACAGAGCAUAAAAGUUUGGAAAAUUUGCAGCCUGACAAUGAGAUAGAAGAGAAAAUUCCAUUUUCUGAGGAGAAAUUCAAGCCAGCUGCAGAAAUUUGCAAAAGUAAUGAGGAGCUGAAUGUUAAUCACCAAGACAAUAGGGAAAAUGUCUCCAGCGUGUGUCAGAGACCUUUGUGACAACCCCUCCCUUCACAGGCCAGGAGGUUUAGGAGGAAUAAACGUCUUAAAUAUUGGGUCAGGCCCAUGGUCCCUCCACUGUGUGCAGACUAGAGACUUGGUGCCCUGAAUCCUAGCCACUCUAGUCAUGAAUAAAAGGGGCCAAAGUACAGCUUGGGCUAUUGCUUCAGAGGGUGCAAGCCCCAAGUCUUGGUAGGUUCCACAUGGUGUUGAGCCUUCGGGUGCACAAAAGUCAAGAACUGAGGUUUGGUUACCUCUGCCUAGAUUUUGGAUGAUGCAUGGAAACGCCUGGAUGCCCAGGCAGAAGUUUGCUGCAGGGGCAGAGCCCUCAUGGGGAACUUCUGGUAAGGCAAUGAGGAAGGGAAAUGUGGGAUCAGAGCCACCACACAGAGUCCCUAAUGGGCACCACCUAGUGGAGCUGUGAGAAGAGGGCUACCGUCCUCCAAACCCAGACCCCAGAAUGGUAGAUCCAUCGGCAGCUUGCACCGUGCACCUGGAACAGCCAUCAACACUCAAUGCCAGCCUGUGAAAGCAGCUGGGAGGGAGGCUGUACCCUGCAAUGCCACAGGGGCAGAACUGCACAAGACCAUGGGAACCCAUCUCUUGCAUUAGCGUGACCUAGAUGUGAGACAUGGAAUCAAAGGAGAUCAUUUGGAGCUCCAAGAUUUGACUGCUGGAUUUUGGACUUGCAUGGGGCCUGUGGCCCUCUGUUUUGGCCAAUUUCUCCCAUUUGGAAUGGCUGUAUUUACCCAAUGCCUGUACCCCCAUUGUAUCUAGGAAGUAACUAACUUGCUUUCGAUUUUACAGGCUCAUAGGUGGAAGGGAAUUACCUUAUCUCAGAUGAGACUUUGGACUGUGGACUUUUGAGUUAAUGCUGUAAUGAGUUAAGACUUUGGGGGACUAUUGGGAAAGCAUGAUUGGUUUUGAAAUGUGAAAACAUGAGAUUUGGGAGGAGCCAGAGGCAGAAUGAUAUGACUUGGCUCUGUGUCCCCACCCAAAUCUCAUCUUGUAGCUCCCCUGCUUCCCAUGUGUUGUGGGAGGGACCCAGUGGGAGAUGAUUGAAUCAUUGGGGCUGGUCUUUUUCUGUGCUGUUCUUGUGGUGGUGAAUGCAUCUCAUGAGAUUUGAUGGUUUUGAAAAUGGGAGUUCUCUUCACAAGCUCUUUUUUUGCCUGCUGCCAUCCAUGUAAGACGUGACUUGUUCCUCCUUGCCUUCCACCGUGAUUGUGAGACCUCCCCAGCCACGUGGAACUGUGAGUCCAAUUAAACCUUUUUACUUUGUAAAUUGUCCAGUCUCGAGUAUGUCUUUAUCAGCAGUGUGAAAAUGAACUACCAUAAUAUGCAAACACACAAUUCAUGUUAUGCUCAGAUUCUUCCAUAGUCUAUCAAUAUCACUGACACAAAUUUAUGUUUCCAAAACAAGACUUAGAGCAGGACUGGCUGUGUAUCUAUUAGUGGCUAUUCAUGGGCAGGGCAAGUCAUGAACCACUGUACUUGUUCCAAGUCACCUAGCUGGUCAUUGGCAAAGCCAGGGCUGCAACCUAGCUCUCUAGAUGAAGAGCUGAACUAUCUUACCAGGCCACUAUGCUAUCAUAUCUGUUUGUGAAUACAAGGGAUAAAGUGCAGAACAUGGAAGUGCUUUGAAAGGUAUAAAGUGAUCAAUGUUAUAUGCAACUAGAAAGGCUAUGAGUCUUUUAUUUUGUUCUCUAUGACAAGAGAACAAUAUUUCCACUCUGUUUCUUGUUAUAAAUAACUUUGCCUAAUCCUCUAGAAAAGCAAGUAAGCAGAAACAAGUUAACUAAACCUUAGGUCAAGAGGGAAAUGGGAAGAACUAGCAAAAGGAGAUAAUAACUCUCAGGGAUGGAAGCACCUAGCCAAUUGGAAGGGUGUGAAAAAGCGUGGAAAUAGAAAAUGGGACUGACAAAAUGUACCUUUUCUCUUACAAAUUAACUUGUGUCUUUGUGACGACAGCAUGUUUGGGUCAAGAGUUCUUGACUUUUGAAAUAUAUCAAAAUUCUUAAGGAGAAAGUUUUAUAAAAAUAGAGGUGUUUUUUUUGUGUGUGUGUAUAUGUGUGUGUGUAUAUAUGUGUGUGUGUGUAUACAUAUAUAUAUAUAUAUAUUUUUUUUUUUUUUUUUUUGAGACAGAGUUUUGCUCUUGUUGCCCAGGCUGGAGUGCAAUGGCGCGAUCUUGGCUCAUUGCAAUCUCCACCUCCCGGGUUCAAGCAAUUCUCCUGCCUCAGCCCCCCAAAUAGCUGGGAUUACAGGCAUAAGCCACCAGUCCUGGCUAAUUUUGUAUUUUUAGUAGAGAUGGGGUUUCUCCAUGUUGGUCAAGCUGGUCUCUAAAUCCCGACCUCAGGUGAUCCGCCCACCUCGGCCUCCUGAAUUGCUGGUGUUAAAGGUGUCAGCCACUGAGCCCAGCACAUAAAUACAUAUAUUUAUUAAGAGAAGGUGGUUCAUGUGAUUAUGGAGGCUGAGAAGUCUCACAAUUUGUUGUCUGUAAGUUAGAAACCCAGGAAAUCUGGUGAUGAAUACAGAUUGGAUCAGAGAACCGGGGAGCAGAUGGUGUGAAUCCCACCUGGAAAGCCAGAGAAGAUGAGAUGAAAUGAGACAUCACAGCUCAGCAGUGAGGAAAGACAAACUGGGUGAAUUCCUCCUUUCUCCACCUUUGGUUGGUUUCAGGCCCUCAAAAGACUGGAUGAUUCCCAAACACACUGGAGAGGACAAUCCACUUUACUGAGUCCGCUGCUUCAAAUGCUAAUCUCGUCUAGAAAUACCCUCACAGACACACUUAGAAAUAAUGUUUCAUCCAGACACCCCUUGGCCAGUCAAGUUGCCACAUAGAAUUAACCAUCAUACUCAGUACUACUCAUUUAGAAUUUCUGAUAAUAGGGCACAAGUAUGUGUAUUUGUUAGGGCCAAGUGGCUUUGUUGAGCCUUUUGAGAAAAUAACUAUGAGAAGGGGAGAUUUUGUAACCUGAAGACCAUCACUUAGCCCUAAGGAAGACUACCUCAUUUAUUGGCCUAAAAUCAGAAUUGAUGAAUGGUCUGUUGAUCAUGAUUGCAAAUAUGUCUCUAGUGGUCAGAGUAUAUACCAAUGACUUUUUUUAAAAAUGCAGUUCCUUGUUAAAUGUUAAAUGCAGCUCCUUCCAUAACUCCCUUCCUAUCCAUGGAAAAGGAAGCUAUGGCAGGAACUGCAUUUAACAUUUAACAAGAAUAUAUUUCUGUAUAUAUCCAGAAGUAUAUCCAUAUACUACACUACAGAUAUGUUUCUCUUUUCCCCACAGUCAACCAUUUUAGUAGGCUCAGUUGGGGUACUUUUAUUUGAAUGUGUUACUGAGUUUGUACAUUUUAAAUUUUUAUAGAUGAUAUUGUUAUACUGCUUAUUCUUCUUCCAGUGUUUUCCACUAGGUCCUGUAUUAUUAAAAUCCAGUCAGAUUGCUUUAUAGUCAGUUAAUCCAUUGCUUCUACUAAUGAUUUCAAUGGUGUGUCUAUAUGGUAAAUUUCAGUAGUUGAUCCAGAUCUGUAUCUCUUCCUGUAUUUAUGCCCUUUGCUAAGUAAAUUUUCAGGUCCCUCCCACGUGGACAGAGUGACCUGCCCCAUCCCUUGAAACUGGUCUUGGCCAUGUGAUUUGCUUUGUGAUAAAUGCUGACUUGAUAUAAGCAGAAGCUUAAAAAAGCAUUUGUGUGUUUCCACUAGUUCUUGUACCUCUGUCAUUGUAAUGAAAAGACAUACUCAGCUUAACCUACUGGUCCCAGGAAGAGGAUGAGCAAUAACGUGGAACAGAGCCAACCUAGACGUGUAUAAGUAAGCCAGCUGAACUGUGAAUGUAUGAGCAAGUCAGGCCCAGAUCAAUGGAAUCCCACAGAUGCAUGAGAAAUAAAUGCAUGCUAUUGAGAUUUUGUGGUUGUAUGCAACAUUAUUGUGGCAAUAACUAACCAAUAGACUGUACUAUGAGAAUUUGUAUUCUCUUGCUGAUUUUGAAUUCAGGAUGUCAAUUAUGGGAAGGCUAAUCAUUUGACUCAAGAAUAAAACAACUU